UGGGGAAUAUUGGGCAAUGGGCGCAAGCCUGACCCAGCCAUGCCGCGUGAGUGAUGAAGGCCUUCGGGUCGUAAAGCUCUGUGGAGAGGAAAGAAACCUUCUGUGGCUAAUAUCCACAGGAAUUGACGGUACCUCUUUAGCAAGCACCGGCUAACUCCGUGCCAGCAGCCGCGGUAAUACGGAGGGUGCAAACGUUGCUCGGAAUCAUUGGGCGUAAAGCGCACGUAGGCGGCCUGUUAAGUCGGGUGUGAAAGCCCUGGGCUCAACCCAGGAAGUGCACUCGAAACUGGCAGGCUUGAAUAUGGAAGAGGGUCGCGGAAUUCCCGGUGUAGAGGUGAAAUUCGUAGAUAUCGGGAGGAACACCAGUGGCGAAGGCGGCGACCUGGGCCAAUAUUGACGCUGAGGUGCGAAAGCGUGGGGAGCAAACAGGAUUAGAUACCCGCGUAGUCC
rnacentral:rRNA from 1 species